CGCGGCUUCCCUCCAAAUCCAUCCAAAAAGAAAAGGAAAUGAAGCCCAAAGCGGCAGGGCGGCCCACCCGUCAGUCUCUGCGUCCACAGGUCCAUUCCACGCCACACUCAACGCGAGCGAGCAGAUCGCACUCCCUGCCAGUCGGCCAGUCCGGCGAUUCCCACCCGAUUCCCAACUCUAGUUGACUCCUGACGGCGGCGCCGGCCAACGACGGCAGCCACGCGCCCACGCCGGGCAGCGGCGGCGGUUUCUGCGGCCAGUCUGUCGCUCCCAGGAGGAGCCAGGUUUCUGCGGCGGCAAGCCUCCCGUAGCGCAGUCCCGCUCCUCCGAUUGACGGUUGUCCUGGUCGGCUGCCUCCCCGAAGCCCCCAAAAGAUCCAUCCACGGCCAGUACCGCUGCCAAACAAGUUUCUUCAGAUGUAAUUGUUCUUGUGAUGUGGAUGUAGUGAUGUGCUGAUGUAUCUUUUUGUCAAAAUCUGUUGAAAUGGUACUUUCCUCUAUGAA